rnacentral:lncRNA from 1 species
CCAUAGUUCGUAAUCCACACUAAUGAGCCACAUUCAUUUCCUAGAAAAGUCGCGGAGUAUGACAUUAGCCCGUGAAGCUCAUGAAAACUGUAGGAUCUCUCUUCCGCGAGCUGGUGAACGUGUAUUGGUCGUACACAUCGAACCGAAACAUUUAGAAGAGAUCGUUGAUGGUGUGGGUUUAUUGCUGCCGCCUCAAUAUAAAUAAACACCAGAUAUAGUAAUCCAUUGGUAUACGUCAGAGGGAUUCAUCUUGUGGAGAUCUGAAGAAAAGAUACGGUUACAUCUUUCAGUCAUUUCCGGGAAAUUAUUUUGCGGUCAACUUCUACCUGAAAUUUUGAUCUACUUACGGUUUAGGUUAUGUUCAUUGAGUGUUGCCACUCUUCAAAAGUGCCUAGGCUGAACACAACAAAAAAGUAUUAUAGUAUAUACACGGAUGGUUCAGUUUUUCUUUCCAGUGUAUGUUUCCGUUGAGUCCUGUGAUGCUGAUGUGAUGCUUUUCGAGUUAAGAUUCGCCGUGUCAGUGCCACUGGUUA